AUUGAACGCUGGCGGCAGGCCUAACACAUGCAAGUCGAACGAGUGGCGGACGGGUGAGUAAUGUCUGGGAAACUGCCAGAUGGAGGGGGAUAACUACUGGAAACGGUAGCUAAUACCGCAUACCAUCGGAUGUACCCAUAUGGGAUUAGCUAGUAGGUGGGGUAAAGGCUCACCUAGGCGACGAUCCCUAGCUGGUCUGAGAGGAUGAUCAGCCACACUGGAACUGAGACACGGUCCAGACUCCUACGGGAGGCAGCAGUGGGGAAUAUUGCACAAUGGGCGCAAGCCUGAUGCAGCCAUGCCGCGUGUAUGAAGAAGGCCUUCGGGUUGUAAAGUACUUUCAGCGGGGAGGCGUUACCCGCAGAAGAAGCACCGGCUAACUCCGUGCCAGCAGCCGCGGUAAUAC
rnacentral:rRNA from 1 species